AUGGAGAGGUUAUCGAGUAGGAGUAGUAGGAGAGUUGUGUUCAGGGUGGCUGUAGUUGCAGCGUUAUUGUUGCAUACAUUGGGUGCGGCGGCAGGAGCAGCAACAACUAACUACAACACCGUCUGUGGAGGCAUCGACAUCUCCUACCCUUUCGGGAUCGAGGCUGGCUGCUACCACGAUGACUUUAAUCUCACCUGCAAUCACUCGUACCGGCCACCCAAGUUGUUCCUCGGAGAUGGCACCGUGGAGGUGCUAGAGAUCUCCAUUCCCAGUGGCACGGUGUGUGUCAACAGCAGUAGCAUCGCGCUCUUACCAGCAGCAGUAGCACCGGACAGUGUCAACAGCACAGUCAAGUACCACACAAGGGGUGGGCUCAGAAGGGGCAGGCCGUUCUUCGUCUCGCCUGAGAAGAACAAGUUCCUGGUGCUGUCAUGCAGCAACAUCCUGGUCCUCCUCCUUGAGGAAGACAACAUCACCGUCAAUGCCUGCCUGUGCCACCUACUGCCCACCGCCACCAGGAAAAGGCCAGCCUUUUGA
rnacentral:rRNA from 1 species